GUCUACAGCCAUGCUACCCUGAACACGCCCGAUCCUGUCUGAUCUCAGAAUCUAAGCAGGGUCGGGCCUGGUUAGUACCUGGAUGGGAAAUCACCUAGGAAGACCAGGUACUAUAGGCG
rnacentral:rRNA from 1 species